rnacentral:rRNA from 1 species
GACCAGACUCCUACGGGAGGCAGCAGUGGGGAAUAUUGCACAAUGGGGGAAACCCUGAUGCAGCGACGCCGCGUGAGUGAGGAAGUAUUUCGGUAUGUAAAGCUCUAUCAGCAGGGAAGAAAAUGACGGUACCUGACUAAGAAGCCCCGGCUAACUACGUGCCAGCAGCCGCGGUAAUACGUAGGGGGCAAGCGUUAUCCGGAUUUACUGGGUGUAAAGGGAGCGUAGACGGAUAAGCAAGUCUGAUGUGAAAAUCCGGGGCCCAACCCCGGAAUUGCAUUGGAAACUGCAUAUCUAGAGUGUCGGAGAGGCAAGUGGAAUUCCAGGUGUAGGAGUGAAAUCCGUAGAUAUCUGGAGGAACAUCAGUGGCGAAGGCGACUAUCUGGCACAUAACUGACGCUGAGGAGCGAAAGCGUGGGUAGCAAACAGGAUUAGAUACCCGAGUAG